CCACUUCCAUGAGUUCUCCCCUGGCUUUCUUCUUGUUUUUAUAGCUUUAGAUGGCGUGGAAACAAGAAUAUAGCCGUUAGAGACAAAAAUAGAGCCGUUGGACACAGUCUGCACCUCCUGACAAUGUUACCGUUGGGAUCGGAGUCGACUCGCGCGAUCAGGAGUCGACUCGCCUGUUGCAGGAGUCGACUCGUGCUUUACUGGAGACGACUCGACCACUGUUCCAAAUUUGAAUUAUGGUGCAUCCUCGACUGGGAGUCGACUCGUCUUAACCCGGAGUCGACUCGCCAACUUCUGGAGCUGACUUGGCAAUUUCG
rnacentral:lncRNA from 1 species